GGUUUUUCUCCCUCUCCUGUGCCGGCCUCCUCCCCUCUAUUUCACUGUUGACACAGAGGGGAAGAGCACCCCACAGAGGGGUUUCCUUACUUCUGUUAAACCCUAACCUAAAAAAAACUCCUUACCUUGGCCGGUUGUAGUCGGCAGUGCUUCCUCCCUAGUAGUCCUUCCUUUCCCAGAGCUUCAGGGCUCCUUGGCCUUAGGCUCCAGGGCUUCGGCUCUCUCUCUCGUUCAAAGUUUAGGGAGUCUGUGACUUGGGGUUGCCGGCAGAGGCCUAAAUAAUUGUUUAGAGGAUGAAAUCCCCCUCUGAGAGGUCCCAUCCUCUCCUUUCCUCCAUACUCCGGGACUGGCCGCCGCCCCCCUGUCUCCGGCGCGCCGGCAUCGGCUGCCAGCAGGGGGUGAGGUAACCCUUCCCUGUCG
rnacentral:lncRNA from 1 species